rnacentral:rRNA from 1 species
AACACAAAGAGAAGCGAGACGGAGACGUUAAGCGAACCCAAAAAAGUAAGUCUCAGUUCGGAUUGAAGGCUGAAAUUCGCCUUCAUGAAGCCGGAAUUGCUAGUAAUGGCAGGUCAGCAUACUGCCGUGAAUACGUUCCCGGGCCUUGUACACACCGCCCGUCACACCAUGAGAGUUGGGAAUACCCGAAGCCUGUGAGCUAACGUAAGAGGCAGCAGUCGAAGGUAGAAUCAAUGAUUGGGGUGAAGUCGUAACAAGGUACC